rfam:Loxodonta africana unplaced genomic scaffold scaffold_26, whole genome shotgun sequence.
ACAAUGGUGGUUCAGUGGUAGAAUUCUCACCUUCCAUGCAGGGGACCUGGGUUUGAUUCCCAGCCGAUGCA